ensembl:lncRNA
GUGAACACCUGACGAAUGGCUUUAAUUUAUAGACCUUCAGGUACAAGCAACGUGAUGUUCAGUUAACGCACACGCACAAACACAAUUACACACAAUUCAGUCAAUGAAGACCCCCCAAGUAAAUUAUUUAAUGAAAACCUUUUUGAUUCUGUCAAGGUGAUUUUCUACAAUUAGAGAGAAACGCAUAACGUGUUCACGGUACAUUUCCAAAAGUCAAAUGCGCAUCCAUCGGAACCACCAAAUGAGCUUAGAGAAUUCUGUAAGGGUCCUGCCGAGCAGGGUUAUUUAUUCGUCACUAUGAAAUCUUACAUUUUCACAGUUAACUGAAGAAUGGAAAUUUGCUUAAGAAAAACAAACAGACACACGUACAGUGUGUCUUAUUCUAUAGAAAGGCCAGUCUUCUUGUGUACAAUUCUUAACUUUUAAAAGUAGUUGAUAAACGGUAAAAGCCAUCUGUACUAAAUGCAACACAAAAACAGUCAUUCGUAAGCAGUGACACAAGCCUACGCGCCGGUCUGUCCCUGUGUUCCGCAUUCAGUUCAGGCACGGCAACAACCGGACAUGUUAUCAGAAAAUAACAAGACUACUAGCUAAAGCUAGGUCUUAUAAAUUAAAAUAAAAUAAAGAUUAAACAGAACAUACUCCAGAACAUGUUGGGUCUUGUGUGUCUUCUAAUUUCGACCCAGAUAAGACGCUAAGUCUCUAUACCGGUCAGCUAAGCCAAUUAAAAAGGUAUUCCUUUCUAAUACCAUCUGUGCAGACAGACAGGGACUGUCGUGGCUCAUGGGUUGAUCAAGAGAGGCGAGUGGAGACGAGACUAUCAUACUGAUUGGAUGGUCGUUGAUCCGGAGAAUAUUGUACAUUUGGUCUCCAGAAUAAGAUGCAUGUUGUAUUUGCCCCAAAACACGAGGCUCCUUCAGAACAUGCUAUGGUCGUGAAGGAGCUUACCUUUUUAAAACACAGCAGUAUUGAAGUUGGCCAGCAUUGCAUUGUGUGCUAACACACAUCAGUUGCAAGACAUUUGGUUUUAUAUUGAACGUAUGAAUGUACAUUUUGUUUAAAUGAAGAUAAGAGUAACCUCAAUUAUGUAUCGCCUAAAUACAAAGCUACAGAAAGAACCCUCACUUACAGCCAAAAUGUAGAGCAUGACCUCAUCGAGAUUAUGAAGUGCGGGUCCGGUAUUAUUAUUUUUAUAGAUUAGACUGUGUAUAUUAUGGUCAUAAAGCAUACGGUAUAAUCUGUCAAAUAGUUAUCCAUUGGAAAUUUUAGAUACAGAACAGCAUUUUUUUAAAAAUCAAUUAAAAAUCAAUGAUUUAAAGAAAAGUGCAAACAAUGGCGUUACUCUACAUUAAGGUUGAGGUCUAACCAAUUUUUUAUUUUUAGAGGAAAAAGUACAAGGGUAGGAUACAUUUACUCAGCUAGUUAUGGUACUUCCUGGAAUAAACAACACAUGUAUGAAGAAGAUAAACAUUACAGUGCUGCACAAUCAGCCCCAAGCAGAGUCAAAAUAUUACAAUAUGGACCCCUUGAUGAACCCAUGAGCCAAGCCCUUCUCCUGCUGCUGGGAUGGCCUUCUGAAAACUAAAGAGUGGAUCACAAAUGUCAUCAACUCCUCUCAGUCUCCGGGUCCUACUGCCCCUUCGAACCUUCGCUCCGUCCUGGGGGGGGGGUCACCUUCAGGCCCGACCUUCCAAAGUCUGCGUUGUUGUUGUUGUUGUUGGAAGGACGGAGGGGGGCAGGUGUGGUAGGGGGGUCCGUCAGCAUGUCAGCCUGGGCCGAUCCUCCCACCUGGCCUUGGUGUGUGUCUAUCUCACUUGUAGUCCACUAGCCCGCUUCGACGCUAGCCUGAGACGCGCGGAGUCCCCCCGCCGCCCUCACUCCUGGGCUAUGCUCCUCAGCACGUACUUGACCGUGUAGGCGAAGGCCGCGAAGCCCACGAUCACAAACAGGUUGGCCAGGGCCCCGCCCAGCAGUCCGUGGUUCCGAUUGGCAUGCUGCAUGCCGGGGGCGGGGUUAGCGCCGCCUAGGGGGGCCGGCCCGCCGUUGAGGGCGGGGUGGCCAUAGUGGGCGUGCUGGGGGUCGCCGUCGGGGACCACGUCGGGCAGGGGGAGGGGCUGGGUGCGGGCGUUCAGCUCCUCCUGGACCUUUUGCUUCUGCUUCAUCUC